GCUGCCUAGCCAUCCUGGAGCCCAUCAGACUGUCCUUGCCUGGGGAGCCUGGUCUGUCUGUCUCCGGGUCACCGUGAAGCUGUGCCUGAUGCCUGGGGUCGACGUCCCAGGGGGAGUUUCAGGGUCCAAGGGAAGAGACGCAGUUUGCCCUGCCAGAAGCGUUGGGGAAAGGCUCUCCCCCAGAACCUGAGCCGGAGACUGUUCUCACCUGGACGACACCUGCACUGUUCCCCUGCUGCCAGGGCUGCCGGCACCGAGGAUGCCAGCAGACGACCCGAGUCCCCAGCGUGGCCAGUGGACAAUGCAUCCAAGCAUUCCCAUCACUUCCAAGUAACAGAGCAGGUUGCUUUGCAUUUUCACACCGAAAGGAAAUUUGAACCCGCAACCACCUGACCACAGCUCCCAGGACGCAGGCGUG